rnacentral:rRNA from 1 species
UACAGAGGUCUCAAGCGUUAUCCGGAUUCACUGGGUUUAAAGGGUGCGUAGGAGGGCAGGUAAGUCAGUGGUGAAAUCCCCGAGCUUAACUUGGGAACUGCCGUUGAUACUAUCUGUCUUGAAUAUUGUGGAGGUAAGCGGAAUAUGUCAUGUAGCGGUGAAAUGCUUAGAUAUGACAUAGAACACCAAUUGCGAAGGCAGCUUGCUACACAACUAUUGACUCUGAUGCACGAAAGCGUGGGGAUCAAACAGG